rnacentral:pre_miRNA from 1 species
AUUCUACUCCCUCCAUUCCAAAUUACUUGUCACAAGUAUGGAUGUAUCUAGAUGUAUUUUAAUUUUAGAUACAUCCAUUUCUGUGACGAGUAAUUUGGAACGGAGGGAGUAUACU